rnacentral:rRNA from 1 species
UAAGGAAUAUUGGUCAAUGGACGCAAGUCUGAACCAGCCAUGCCGCGUGCAGGAUGACGGCCCUACGGGUUGUAAACUGCUUUUGUACGGGAAAAAACCUCCGGUCGUGAAUCGGAGCUGAUGGUACCGUAAGAAUAAGCAUCGGCUAACUCCGUGCCAGCAGCCGCGGUAAUACGGAGGAUGCAAGCGUUAUCCGGAUUCAUUGGGUUUAAAGGGAGCGCAGGCGGAAUGAUAAGUCAGUGGUGAAAGCUCGCGGCUCAACUGAGAAACUGCCAUUGAUACUGUUGUUCUUGAGUACACUGGAAGUGGGCGGAAUGUUUCAUGUAGCGGUGAAAUGCUUAGAUAUGACACAGAACACCGAUCGCGAAGGCAGCUCACUAAAUUGUAACUGACGCUCAGGCACGAAAGCGUGGGGAUCAAACA